GUCGGCAUGUCGGAAUUGGUAGACGAAGCAGACUCAAAAUCUGCCGCGGGCGACUGUGUGUGGGUUCGAGUCCCACUGCCGGCA
rnacentral:tRNA from 1 species